UACAGAGGUCCCAAGCGUUGUUCGGAUUCACUGGGCGUAAAGCGUGCGUAGGCGGUCCGCGAAGUCUGAUGUGAAAGCCCCGGGCUCAACCUGGGAACUGCAUUGGAAACUAACGGGCUCGAGUGUGGCAGAGGGGGGUGGAAUUCCACGUGUAGCAGUGAAAUGCGUAGAGAUGUGGAGGAACACCGAUGGCGAAGGCAGCCCCCUGGGCUAACACUGACGCUCAGGCACGAAAGCGUGGGGAGCAAACAGG
rnacentral:rRNA from 1 species